CACUGUGCUGAGCCUAGGGCCCCAGUAGUGCGGAAACAGACACUGGGUGCACUGGCAGGGACUGGAGAAAACCAGCUGCAGACAAUAUUCAUCCCUGCACCAAGUCCUUCAUGGUCUCUGCACACUUGCUCACCAUCACUUCUGCUCCACGAGUGAGCACAAAGCGAUUUCUGGGUAAUUUCAGACACACAGCUUCAGCAGGUUCGCACUUUGAUCUUAGCAAAGUUGCAUUCUGCUGCUCUGGCACGCUCGGCUCCUCCUCAGGGCGUGGGAGUCAACGUUUAAGUAGAUCAGAGUAAGCGGUACCCUGCUGAAGAGGUUUUUCCAAAGCCUGUGGUCAGUCACUGAGGGGCAACAUAAGGAGGGGCAGGUUCCCCCCCCAACAGACUCACCCACCAGCCAGCCAGCUCACUGCCUAUGGGUGGGCGAGGUCUCUCUCCCUUGAAAAUGUCUGUAGCACCCAGAAGAGGCCCUGUUCAAGGCUGUUGACCAAGACAGAAGGGAAAUCAGGGAUCGUGUCUGCAGCCGAAGAAAGAAGAUGCAGGCGAUAGAGGAGGUGGAGAAGGAGUAGCUGCCCCCUCUUUCCUACCUGAUCAUCAGAGGGGAAGAAGCCAAGACUCAAGGAGUUAAGAACUUUUCCAAGGGUAGCUAUUAGCCAGGACUCAAACCUACAUACUUGAAUGAAUUUCUACAACCUGUUAUUGAAGACUAAGGAGUAAGAAUUCUGCCGGAAGACUGUGUUGCCGAACCAAUCAGUUUGUCUAAAACUCUUUCACUCCCCAUCCCCAACUCCCUGUUGGCCUAGGGGCAGUCUGAGAGGGGGCUUAGAAUAAAUCAGAAGAGGGGUCUCAUUCAGAUUGUUUUGCUGUGAUCACAUGUGAGUCAGAUUUUUCUUCUGUAACAAGAGGUAGUUGAAGAGGGCUUCUCAGCCUGGGCUGGAUCCUGGACAGACAGGCCCAGGCAGGCUGUGCACUGUGACCUGGGGCCUUGCUGUGAACAAAGAGGACUUCAAGAGGAGAUGGCCUGGAGGAGUUCGCCUUUGUGGUCAUUUUGCUUCAGCGGACCAGUCAGCAAAUAAUGACUGCCCUUGGUCAUCCCUGGGAAGAUAAAGGAUUAUUAAAAGAGGGCCCGGCAGCUUGCAGAUUACACCUGCUACAUUUGGAGUGGAAAGAGGCUUCUCUGUCAGUGCCCCUUGCCCCCAUGGAAAGACACUAAUAGCAAUCUUCAACCAUAAUUGUUUGGUCCAUUUUGUUCUGGACCAAGUUUGCAUAAGUUUUAAGCCUGAAAGUCAAAGAAAAACGAAAUCUUACACGUCAACAUGGCCUUUCCAUCACUUGAAAAAGGCACCCUCUCUCUCUCUUUCUCUCUGCCUCGUAAACACAGCGGUCUUGCUCAGAGCAAUCUUGAGCUCUGAGCUGUGAAGAAUUGCUGUAGGUAGGAAGAAACGUUGGCUCUGGAAUUCAAUUAACUGUCAGCAUUGCUGUUCGAGUCAGGAUGACUCACUCCUCUUCAGCAAAUGGGCAUGGGGGCUGUGAGCCUCCAAGAUUAAUGGUGAUUGAUAAGCCGCUGGAGCUCCAGGACGAAGCCUCCCAGAAUCCUUCCCUCACCCACACACGUUUUUACAUGAAAAUAUAAUAGAUAGUGGGAGAGGAUGUGUGAGUACAGAGGAGAUGCUGUCAAGAAUUUGCCUGUAUCCUUUUCUUUUAUAUUGGUAAGUUUCACUGGAUUCUAAGCUACUGAAAAGCAGGGACUAUGUUUUAUAUUUCUUUUCUCUCAGUUCAUGUCCAAAUUAAUGCAUCAGGUGAAAAGAAAGGAUGCUGUCUGAUACCCCAUGAGGUAGGUAUGAGGCCCAUUCUAUAAAUGAGGGGAAGCAACGUGCUAAUAAGAGAAAAAGCUAGGACUCGGUCCCAGAAAGUCUGCCAAGGGUGCCAGCUCCAACCGCUGCAGGUGCCGCCUCUUCACGAGCACGUUACGCCAUUUCUCUCUUUAACACGGAAAGCAAAAUGUGGGCCUGACUGUGGUGAGGGCAUGCUUUUCCAUUCUAAAUGGCAGCUAGCAUGCAUUACAUGUACAAUAUACAACAGGAAUACAAUACGCGGGAGAGAAAACCUUCCCUCCCCUUUUCCUCAGGCACCUGGCUGGUUCAGGCUCCAGUGGCUUGGUUUUGUCGCUGGUGUUGUUAGUUUCCCCCAGCAUCCCCAUUCAUUUUCCAGAAUCCUCUGUCCCUCAUUGUAGUUUUGUAUUUGCAGAUACAAUCUAGGAAACAAUUCAGAUGGGAAAAGAAAUCUUUUCAUGAGAAAGGAUAGUAAAAUUAACAGAAAGCUGGUUAAACUUACAAUUUCCUCAAGUAUUGAGAAUAAACAUGAAUCCAUGAGAAUAAAAACUCAGUAUGGAUUUGUCCACAACGCUUAGGAGGAACAUGUUAGAAGUGCCACAUGCAGGCCAGGCGUGGUGGCUCACGCCUGUAAUCCCAGCAUUUUGGGAGGCCGAGGCAGGAGGAUCAAGAGGUCAGGAGAUCAAGAUCAUCCUGGCUAACACGGUGAAACCCUGUCUCUACUAAAAAAAAUACAAAAAAUUAGCCGGGUGUGGUGGCAUAAGCCUGUAGUCCCAGCUACUCGGGAGGCUGAGGCAGGAGAAUCGCUUGAACCCGGGAGGUGGAGCUUUCAGUGAGCCGAGACGCACCACUGCACUCCAGCCUGGGUGACAGAGCGAGACUCUGUCUCAAAAAAAAAAAAAAAGAAAAAGAAAAAGAAAGAAAAAGAAAUGCCACAUGCAUGUAAGAGUCCAGGCAGGGUGGUCAAACUGUCAGAUGCGCAACAUUCGAGGGGCAAAAAGGAUGAAAUAAGAUGCUCUCUAAACGCAUGAGCAAGACCAGCUGUCAAAGCACUGGCGCCUUUAUUCACACAUUUUGUAAACCUCAGGUAGACAGGAGACAGCAGUAAGUACGUGACCUCAGCGCGUGAUCCUCAUUCAAACUGGAAUUCGAGUAUCACUGGUCUCAGCUGCAGACAUUUCAGAGUGGGUCCAUUUGCUCUUAGGAACUUCCAGGGCACCCCAGCACCACUUGUUUUUGCCUUUGUCUUUGCUUUCCUUCCCCACAUCCCUACAAAACCAAACAGACUUGCUCUCCCAGCUUCACAAAGAGAAACGGAUUCCAAGAGGAAAUCACUUCACAGCAAGUGAGCCCUGGGAAGAAUUAAAGACUGAGGAGCCCUUGUAAUGAGAUUAAGGGAAAAAUGCUUUUGUGCAUCCAACUCAGACCCGUCCUCAGUAUGCAGGACGCGAGUGGUGCCAAAACAAACAUGGGUAUUGUUUUGGGAAGGAAAAGGUUAACAAGCUAUGAAAACAAAAUUAGAGAUAUUUUCAAAGCAUGACCCUCAGCAGAAUGAGUAGAAUGCAGUCUACCCAGGCAGCAGCAUUCCCUCCUCACUUGACAUUUAUCCUGCA
rnacentral:lncRNA from 1 species